rfam:Camelus ferus unplaced genomic scaffold scaffold313, whole genome shotgun sequence.
GAGGGUAUAGCUCAAGUGGUGGAGCAUAUGCUUAGCAAGCACAAGGUGCUGGGUUCAAUCCCCAGUACCUCCU